CAUUACAGGUUAUUCUCCGGAAGAUGGAGACAUUGGAGGAGAACCAGCGAGAGGCUCUCCUAUUCAGGCGACUACAGGGCAGACACACUGAAGAGGUGCCAGUGAUGGACCUACAGGUGGCCCAAACACAGGCUGAACUCCAAGACGCCUUAAGCGAGGAGCGCCUUAAGGUGCUGGAGUUGCGAAAGAGAGUGACGCUGUGAUGAAGUGGAAGACGGGACUGGGAGAGAAAGCUGUGGAGCUCCUCAUAGAGGAGACACUCAAACACACCCCGGCAGCCCAUUCAAAACAAGCCAGGGCCAACAGACAGGACCUGUAGCGGGGACUGGCAGAAGAUUUUAAUUCACUGUUUGGCACUUUGUUUGAAAUAAAAUGACAAUGUUACAUGGAAAUGCUG